rnacentral:rRNA from 1 species
GCUCCAAUAGCGUAUAUUAAAGUUGUUGCAGUUAAAAAGCUCGUAGUUGGAUUUGUGGUGUACGCAGGCGGCCUGUCACAAUGUGUCGGAGCUUGCUUGCGUCGCAUCCUUGGGUGGAUCCUGUGUGGCAUUCAGUUGUCGUGCAGGGGAUGCCAUCGUUUACUGUGAAAAAUUAGAGUGUUCAAAGCAGGCUUAUGCCG